GGGAGGCAGCAGUGGGGAAUAUUGCACAAUGGGCGGAAGCCUGAUGCAGCGACGCCGCGUGAGGGAUGACGGCCUUCGGGUUGUAAACCUCUUUCAGUAGGGAAGAAGCGAGAGUGACGAUACCUGCAGAAGAAGCGCCGGCUAACUACGUGCCAGCAGCCGCGGUAAUACGUAGGGCGCAAGCGUUGUCCGGAAUUAUUGGGCGUAAAGAGCUCGUAGGCGGUUUGUCGCGUCUGCUGUGAAAGCCCGGGGCUCAACCCCGGGUCUGCAGUGGGUACGGGCAGACUAGAGUGCAGUAGGGUAGACUGGAAUUCCUGGUGUAGCGGUAAAAUGCGCAGAUAUCAGGAGGAACACCGAUGGCGAAGGCAGGUCUCUGGUCUGUUACUGACGCUGAGGAGCGAAAGCAUGGGGAGCGAACGGGAUUAGAUACCCUGGUAGUC
rnacentral:rRNA from 1 species